GGAAGCGCAGUUCCAGCACCAGCAGUACUCUGGGAAAUGUAGUUCCGCGCUGCCACUUCCUCUGUUAGGCCGUGUCGGCCUGGGCGCGGUGAAGUCUAGGUAAAACCAGGCAGAGAUACCAAUGCACGUAUGCUCUCAAGAAAAACAGUAAGAGGUCUUCAAGAAAGAGGACUGAACAGCACUUGUCAUGCACAGUUCAUCUUAAAUUCACCAACUAAUUGGAGUGACUAUUUGCUAAUUAUCCUUACCCAGAGGGAAAAAAACUUCUCAUCUUUGUGACCAGUAUUGAAGAUGGAACCCAGGGGCUCAAACAUGCUAGG